rnacentral:rRNA from 1 species
AGAGUUUGAUCAUGGCUCAGAACGAACGCUGGCGGCAGGCUUAACACAUGCAAGUCGAGCGCGUGGCAACACGAGCGGCAGACGGGUGAGUAACGCGUGGGAAUCUACCGGACCCUACGGAAUAACGCAUGGAAACGUGUGCUAAUACCGUAUACGCCCUACGGGGGAAAGAUUUAUCGGGGUUUGAUGAGCCCGCGUUGGAUUAGCUAGUUGGUGGGGUAAAGGCCUACCAAGGCGACGAUCCAUAGCUGGUCUGAGAGGAUGAUCAGCCACAUUGGGACUGAGACACGGCCCAAACUCCUACGGGAGGCAGCAGUGGGGAAUAUUGGACAAUGGGCGCAAGCCUGAUCCAGCCAUGCCGCGUGAGUGAUGAAGGCCCUAGGGUUGUAAAGCUCUUUCACCGGAGAAGAUAAUGACGGUAUCCGGAGAAGAAGCCCCGGCUAACUUCGUGCCAGCAGCCGCGGUAAUACGAAGGGGGCUAGCGUUGUUCGGAAUUACUGGGCGUAAAGCGCACGUAGGCGGACAUUUAAGUCAGGGGUGAAAUCCCGGAGCUCAACUCCGGAACUGCCUUUGAUACUGGGUGUCUUGAGUGUGGAAGAGGUGAGUGGAAUUCCGAGUGUAGAGGUGAAAUUCGUAGAUAUUCGGAGGAACACCAGUGGCGAAGGCGGCUCACUGGUCCAUUACUGACGCUGAGGUGCGAAAGCGUGGGGAGCAAACAGGAUUAGAUACCCCAGUAGUCC